rnacentral:lncRNA from 1 species
GGGGCAUGCCUGCUAUUUCAUUAAUGGGCAAACGUGAGAGUCAAGCCAGACCACUCGAUUCCAUCUCCAUCAUGGGUUGUGUUCACUUUGACCAAAGGCCUACUUGAAGAAUUCUCCUGUGAUAAUGAGAACUUCACUCUGCAACGUCACCUCUCAUCCUCUCGAGUCUCCCGUCUCAUGCUUGAUCCUCCUACAUCUGGAGCUCCAUCUCACUUUGGGCUCCCCCUGGCUCUUGAAGCUCCAACUCACACUAGGCUCUCUGUCAGGUAGUAAUAUCCUCCUCUGAUCUUCUUCUCCUCCAAUAUCAUCCUAUCGUCGUGCAUGACCUUCAAGAUUCCAUCACCAACUAUCCACCUGUAGCUAUUUGAAUCCACAUUGCUCAAUGAGAUAAGAUUUCAUCUGAAAUUGGGUAUG